rnacentral:rRNA from 1 species
GACGAACGCUGGCGGCGUGCUUAACACAUGCAAGUCGAACGGAAAGGCCCUGCUUUUGUGGGGUGCUCGAGUGGCGAACGGGUGAGUAACACGUGAGUAACCUGCCCUUGACUUUGGGAUAACUUCAGGAAACUGGGGCUAAUACCGGAUAGGAGCUCCUGCUGCAUGGUGGGGGUUGGAAAGUUUCGGCGGUUGGGGAUGGACUCGCGGCUUAUCAGCUUGUUGGUGGGGUAGUGGCUUACCAAGGCUUUGACGGGUAGCCGCCCUGAGAGGGUGACCGGCCCCAUAGGGCUUGGGAACGGGCCAGGGCUCAUACGGGGGGAAGGGGUGGGGAAUAUUGCCAAAGGUGCGGAGGCUUGAGGCAGCAACGCCGGGUGGGGGAGAAGGCCUUCGGGUUGUAAACCGCUUUCGCCUGUGACGAAGCGUGAGUGACGGUAAUGGGUAAAGAAGCACCGGCUAACUACGUG